rnacentral:lncRNA from 1 species
GUCAUAACCCCGACAUUCUGAAUGCAAGACUCGAAUACUACUGGACUGAUCCUAAUGAAAUUUGGAACACCAAAUCUAAGCCUUGGGAGAAGCCCCGUGAAAAUUCAUAUGCUUCGGAUUUUGAUUUAAUUUGAACCACAGACCAAAUCAGCUCGCAUUGCGCGAGCACUGAUAGCGGGAAAGGGGAGUGGCAUACAGUGCCACCGAAAAAGAAAAGAAAAAAGAAACAAAAAGAAACACAUGACACACUGGGGAGGUGCGAACAAUUAGUGCUUCCCAACAUCAACAGCAACAACAUGCACCCACAACAACAACAAUUAACAACACCUUCUCUACCAGUACUGCUACACACACCAACACACACAGACACCACCAACACCGUUACAACAAUAAACACGAACAAUGAACAGUUAGUAACAUACCUGAAAAAUAACACAGACACAAAAAUGUCAGAUUUUAUUAUACCCACACACAACACACUACCAGCACACAUACUUACAUUUAAAAUCACACAAGACAAUUAUAAUAAAAUCAAGGAGAAAUUCCCAAACGAUGUUGGGUCGCUAGGGAGAAAUUUCUCCAAAAAUCUCUACAAAAACCUGGUGGAAAAACCCGUCCAAAAGCACAAGGGAGCCACCCCACCAAACAACAACAGUAAGUAGAGCCAUUUUCUCCUUAACCUUUUAAAACAUGGCAAAACUCAGAAUCGGUAGCAUAAAUGUAAGAGGCCUCGGGUCACCUUGGAAACAGGGUCACCUGUUAAACGACCUGAGGUCUCAUAGAGUUGAUGUAGCAGCCAUUAGUGAAACCAGGCUCUCUAACCCGUAAGAACUCGCGGCCCUUUUCAGCGGAUACGAGAUUUUUCUAUCUUCGUGUCGGCCGGGAGCGGCCGGUGGUGGUACGGCGGUUUUGUUUCGGAAGGGCCUGGAUUUGAAAAUAAGGACAGUCUUCCUGGAUCCGGAAGGUAAGUUGGUGGUCCUUGACGUAGACGGUAGUGACGGUGGUGCUUUCAGACUGCUGGCUGCCUACACUCCGAAAGGAGCAGGGCAGUCCGAUUAUUUCAAGCGUCUGGAAGUUUUCUUGGGGACGUCACGCACUCUAGUGCUAGUUGGGGAUUGGAACGCUGUCUUAGAUGAACGUUUCGAUCGGGUGGGCACGGGAGCAUCUAAUAGGAGAGGUGGGUGCAAGUGCCUCGCCAACCUGCUCAGGCGCUUUCAGUUGUCCGAUAGGUUUCGACUAGACAACCCGAAUGUGCCAAUGUGGACUUGGACUAAUUGCAUCGGGUCGUUUAGAUCGUACUUAGAUAGAGUCUUCUGUAGGCCAGCGGAUAAGGACAGCAUAGGGUGUCCACAAUUCCACCUAGUCGACUACACGGACCACAAAUUCAUGAUCUGUACGGUCGACUUAGAUAGGCUACAUAGACAGGGUCCCGGCUACUGGAAGCUGAACGCGUCGUUAACGGCGUGCAAAGCCUACAGAGACCGGAUUAGUUUAUUAGUUAAACGGGCGCUCACGGGGGCAAUCAUCAACAACAACUGGUGGUUUGCUCUCAAGAGAGCAAUUAGAGCAGAGUCGAUUAGGUUUAGUAAGGCUCUAGCUGUAGA